UGUUAAAGGCUAACUUCUCAGUCUUGGGAAAAAGGCUUGUUCACUGGGUUAAACAUGAAAAAUGCAUUAUGCUUGAUGUUCUGCUUGAUGCUCUUGGUUAAAGUGUAAUGUGCAACAGAAUUCUCUCUAUACUGUGGCUCUUGAAGCUGUAGCUGCUGGGCAAUAAUGGCAAAAAGGUGCUCUGUUACAGUUGUAGGAACUCUACUUCAUCAUAAUUGCUAAUUUAAGCCAACCAGAUUGCACAUCCAAAAUGUACAGAAGUUUGGUCCUAUUUACUGAGUGUUGCUCCCUGGGUAUAUCUCAACUUCUCCUCACACAACUGACAGAUGCCUAAAUGUAAGAGAUUGUUCUUGUCGUGGGAUGCACUGACACAAAUUCAGUUGCAUGGGUUGUUGGCUCUGUCUGAUGUUGUCCCUUCUAAUGCUACUGAACAAAUCACCUUACACAAGAGUGAUCUCCUAUGCAGCGUUUGACUGUGGAUGAGUAUCAAAGGGCCUAUUCACUGCAACAUGAAAGGCUUUUACCUGCUGUGACUAAACCAUGUUAAAUUGUUACAGACAUGCAGGUGUACUGUGUCUUGGCAGGAGUGUUCGAGCAGAAAUACCUUUGUUCAAUCACCAGGUUCCUAAUUAAGUAUUUCCCUAUGCACAUUGUACAAUAAAGUCAUUUUGUAAAAGUGUGGGAAGGAAGAUGUUCCUGCUGACACUCUUGGUCUAGGAGAAAAAGAUAAAUCUGCUCUCCAAAGGAGGAAGAAGCAUUAACCAGUCUUCAAGACAACUUUUGGAGAAAUACAGGUUUAUCAUCAAUGUGGUUAUUUGAGGCUGACCAACAACAUUCAGUUGGAAGUGUCAGGUGCAGCAUUAAAGGUGUGAUUUCAGGUGUGAUAUAGCAGCUGUGGUCAUGUAAAUCUGCUUUCAGUCAUGUGAACAGGCAGCAACUAGUAACCAACUAGUAGCCAGGAGAGCAGGCUGGCUUCAGUGCUUGGCUCAAUGUAAGUCUGCCCUGAAGAGUCCAGCACUAAGAACUUUAACUGGGCCCAUUUCCCCUCAUUACAUGGGGAAUGGGAACAUAUUUGUUUCCACAGAUACUGGUCCUCGUUGGGUUCCAGUCAAGAACAUCAGGCCCUUCAUUGAACAACCAGCUGAUCAAAAUACAAAAAAGGAUUCAUGUCCUUGAAGAGGUGGUUUGGGAUUCCUAGAGACGUCAAAGUCAUAAAGGACAAGUCUUCUGUCCUCGGGGAACCGGUUGACCGUAUGUCCCGAGGUGGUCGGUACUGUGCUCCCUUUCCUUUUGAUGACCUUUUUCUUGCUCUAGACUGGCAACACCCAGAUCCCAGCCAGUUUGUAACCUCUUUUGAACAGGAGCUUUCUGCAGGUCUGUUAAUUUCCUUUCCCUGCUUGACCUGUCACACAGGGCAUCACCAAGCGUGGACUCUGUGUGAAUGCCAAAGGUGUGGGUGCCUUUGGUAUUGUGCAUCUCAUAAAAGAAGAGCUGACUGUCGGCAUUGUGACCCUUUAAGGAGCAGUCGGAAUAAUAUACAAAUUAAGCAGCUGGUGUGUGGUCAUCAAUAUGGUUUGUCUGAACAUCAGGAGUUAUCAAGUGAGCAAUGGCUUGCUGUUAUUAAUAAGUUCUGUAGUGUCAGUUCUAACUCCUCCCACAGUGGCAAUGCAGAGGCCACCAUUGCCUCAAGCUAGUGUUUGGCUGACACUAGCAAAGGCUUUUCUAGUAUUAGUACUUCCUCCUGUUACUUUUACUUGGCAUGUUAAUCAGCAAAAAACAAAUGCAUGGAUAACUUUAGCCAACUUGAAAGGACAAGGUACUUUAUGCUUGGCUACAGCCUCUCCUGAAAACCCAUUUUCUACUGGUCUCGUUGGUUUACCUUUAGAUAUAAGGCCACAUUCCCCUUCAGCUCAUGUGCUUCACUUUGAGAAUGAUGCCGAUGUGUGGAACCAAUGGAUCCCAUAUCUCCCUCGUGCAGCCGUUGAGCCUCAGGAAUUAGAACUUUUGGGAUCUGUAAAAAUGGACCUUUGUGUUAAAUUUAAUUAUUCUGGGGCCAACCAGUCUAAAGCAUCGGACGCUUCUCUGAGCCAACCAGGUAUAUUCAAGAAUGAAAGUGUCAGGUGUAAUUACACUUCCACCAACAUCUCUUGCUCUACUAAUGCUCCGUUAUCAUUACCAGCGGGAAUGUUUUUAAUUUGUGGAGACAGAGCUUGGGCUGCUAUUCCAUCACAUAUUGAGGGAGACCCCCUGCACUUUAGAGCGACUCUCACUGUUGAAACCCAACACAUCCGUGAUUUUACAAGAUAAAUUUCUGUGGAGAGGGAAGCACAGAAUUCAUGUGUUUACCCCUGAUUGCGACGAUAACCUUGACUUUUGGUCACUACAGCAGUGUUGGGCUGUCUCCUUUUUGCUUCAGGAGUAGUGUCUGGAAAGGCAGUGGGAUUGUUGAACAGCUAGGCUGCUGGUUAGCUCAACAAACUAAUGCUGCUUCACCUGCUUUAACAGGAUUGUUAACCAAUAUUGAUUUGAUUAGACAUGUUACAUUGCAGAAUCAAGCUGCUGUUGAGUAUUUUCUUUCAGCACGUGGACAUGGAUGUGAAGGUUUUGAUGGAAUGUGUUAUAUGAACCUUUCUGAUCACUCACAAUCUAUUCCUGUGACUAUUAAAGCUUUACAAGAUAAUAUCACUAAAUUAAAAAUGGAGAUGAUUGGUUUAACAAUCUUUUUGGAGACUGGGGGAUCGCUGGAUGGGUCAAAAAUUUAAUUAAGAUGGGAAUGUUUGUAUUAGGGAUGCUAUUAAUUAUAGUGAUCCCUGCCUUGCUUGAUUCAAUGUAUUCAGAUUGAUUAAUAAAUCAGUAAAACAAAUAAUGAUUGUAGAACAGAAAGGGGGAGAUGUAGAAGAUCAGAAAGCUGCAGAAGCUGAGUUGAGUGGCACUGCAGACCUCCUGGCCCUGGUCCAGUGGAAGCCUUGGGAGAGAUAAACUCAAGGCAAGAACAAGAAGUGAAGACAUCACGUCUGAUCACUCUGGUGCAAGAGGAUGUUAACAAGGACUUGAUAACUGAAAAGAUUGUUGCCAAGGCAACAGGGGCAAGGGGGUCUGAGUGGAAAAUUUUGUGUGGAAGUUAGAGAACUCUAAAUUCUGGUGAUUAGUGUAAUAAACUGGCUUUGCUUGCA